rnacentral:rRNA from 1 species
GAUGAACGCUGGCGGCGUGCCUGAUACAUGCAAGUCGAGCGAAUGGAUUAAGAGCUUGCUCUUAUGAAGUUAGCGGCGGACGGGUGAGUAACACGUGGGUAACCUGCCCAUAAGACUGGGAUAACUCCGGGAAACCGGGGCUAAUACCGGAUAACAUUUUGAACCGCAUGGGUCGAAAUUGAAAGGCGGCUUCGGCUGUCACUUAUGGAUGGACCCGCGUCGCAUUAGCUAGUUGGUGAGGUAACGGCUCACCAAGGCAACGAUGUGUAGCCGACCUGAGAGGGUGAUCGGCCACACUGGGACUGAGACACGGCCCAGACUCCUACGGGAGGCAGCAGUAGGGAAUCUUCCGCAAUGGACGAAAGUCUGACGGAGCAACGCCGCGUGAGUGAUGAAGGCUUUCGGGUCGUAAAACUCUGUUGUUAGGGAAGAACAAGUGCUAGUUGAAUAAGCUGGCACCUUGACGGUACCUAACCAGAAAGCCACGGCUAACUACGUGCCAGCCGCCGCCGUAA